CCUACGGGAGGCAGCAGUGGGGAAUAUUGGGCAAUGGGCGCAAGCCUGACCCAGCAACGCCGCGUGAAGGAAGAAGGCUUUCGGGUUGUAAACUUCUUUUGUCAGGGACGAAGCAAGUGACGGUACCUGACGAAUAAGCCACGGCUAACUACGUGCCAGCAGCCGCGGUAAUACGUAGGUGGCAAGCGUUAUCCGGAUUUACUGGGUUUAUAGGGCGUGUAGGCGGGACUGCAAGUCAGAUGUGAAAACCACGGGCUCAACCUGUGGCCUGCAUUUGAAACUGUAGUGCUUGAGUGCUGGAGAGGCAGACGGAAGUCGUGGUGUAGCGGUGAAAUGCGUAGAUAUUAGGAAGAACACCAGUGGCGAAGGCGGUCUGCUGGACAGCAACUGACGCUGAGGCGCGAAAGCGUGGGGAGCAAACAGGAUUAGAUACCCGGGUAGUC
rnacentral:rRNA from 1 species